rnacentral:rRNA from 1 species
UACGUAGGGGGCGAGCGUUGUCCGGAAUUACUGGGCGUAAAGGGAGCGUAGGCGGUCAAUUAAGUUGGAUGUGAAAUACCCGGGCUUAACUUGGGGGGUGCAUCCAAUACUGGUCGACUAGAGUACAGGAGAGGAAAGCGGAAUUCCUAGUGUAGCGGUGAAAUGCAUAGAUAUUAGGAGGAACAUCGGUGGCGAAGGCGGCUUUCUGGACUGACACUGACGCUGAGGCUCGAAAGCGUGGGGAGCAAACAGG